GUGCUCAAUUCUACAGCACAUGUACUAAAAUUGGAAUAAUACAGAGAUUAGCGUAGGCUCUGUGUAAGGAUGACAAGCAAAUUCAUGAAGUAUUCCAUAUUUUA